rnacentral:rRNA from 1 species
ACAGGAAUAGCCCAUGGAAACGUGGAAUAAUACCUGAUAGUCUCUACGGAGUAAAUGAUGCCUUCGGGUGUCGCUAAAGGAUGGGCUCGCGGCCUAUCAGUUUGUUGGUGAGGUAAAGGCUCACCAAGACUACGACGGGUAGCUGGUCUGAGAGGACGAUCAGCAACACUGGAACUGAGACACGGUCCAGACACCUACGGGUGGCAGCAGUCGAGAAUCAUUCACAAUGGAGGAAACUCUGAUGGUGCAACGCCGCGUGGAGGAUGACGGCCCUAGGGUUGUAAACUCCUGUCAUUGGGGAGUAAGACUUAUGCGUUAAGAGCGUGUAAGUUUGA